rnacentral:rRNA from 1 species
UGGGGAAUAUUGGACAAUGGGCGCAAGCCUGAUGCAGCCAUGCCGCGUGUAUGAAGAAGGCCUUCGGGUUGUAAAGUACUUUCAGCGAGGAGGAAGGCGGUAAGGUUAAUAACCUUAUCGAUUGACGUUACUCGCAGAAGAAGCACCGGCUAACUCCGUGCCAGCAGCCGCGGUAAUACGGAGGGUGCAAGCGUUAAUCGGAAUUACUGGGCGUAAAGCGCACGCAGGCGGUCUGUCAAGUCGGAUGUGAAAUCCCCGGGCUCAACCUGGGAACUGCAUUCGAAACUGGCAGGCUAGAGUCUUGUAGAGGGGGGUAGAAUUCCAGGUGUAGCGGUGAAAUGCGUAGAGAUCUGGAGGAAUACCGGUGGCGAAGGCGGCCCCCUGGACAAAGACUGACGCUCAGGUGCGAAAGCGUGGGGAGCAAACA